CACAAUCAACACGCCACUCAGACAAUGCCCAGACCUCCAGAAAUCCUGUGUCCGGCUUGGACUGCCCACAAGUGCAAUUUUCAAAACGGUUUCCACCUUCUUUUCCCCAUAUUGUCACACUAGGAGUUCUUCUGACUUCUGACUCCUUGCUUCAAAACAAGCUAUCCAGCCGGUGCUCCUAGGGGACCUGGGCCUCAGAGGCCAUCAAUCCCUGUUUCAAAUUUUCUCACAGUCUUUCUGGCUUCAACUUCUUGUAUUUCUUUCCUGUUAGCAAACAUUGGUUGAGCACCUGUUAUGGAUUAGGCACUGAGCUACAGGUAAGGGUUGGUUAAAGGAUAAAACACAUUCCUUGCCUUUAGGGGCUCACAGUCUAGUGGAAGAGACAGGUACCAGGCAACCACAAGAUACGAAGUAAUGGCUCUAAGACAGGUGCUGCCUUCAGUGUGUCAGAUAAGGACUCCCUUCACACUUGGCUGUCAUCUAUCAGACACAGCUGUCCUGUACAGAAGAGCUGGCUUUGGCUUUAAAGGCUGCUUCCUGGCUGGGCUGCUCCACCACUCCAUGAAGGAUGCCAUUUGGGAUCACAUGUGCUGCGGGCGCUGUUGAUGAAAACGCUAACGGAGCUGGACGGGACUGACAUCUGAGAGAAGGACGAGACCUAGUGUGCUCAUGCAGCUGUGUCCAAGUGCUGUUCUUACCUCCCAAUAGAAAGCCUAGUGAAAAAGGAACUACGUAUUUGUUGGCAGCCCUGAAAGGAUCACAUGUUUCGUCUAGUGGAGGGCAGUGCCCUCCAGGAAAGGGUGGCAUGCUGGAGAGCCAAAGAACAGACGUCCACUACAAGUAAUAUGAGCACCAGGUCUGGAUGAGACCCAUCUUUCCUGAGACUGGAGCCAAGUCACUUAACCUGAGCCCUAGUGUCUUCAGCUAUGACAAGGCUUGCUCCACUCCUGGGCUCUGUGUGAUCUCACAACAGAGGAGAGCUUUCCCGUGUGGCAUCCAGGACCUGCACCAUGCAGCCGAGGCAUGGCCUCUGACACCAAGAACAUCUGGUUUUCAAAGACAUGUCAUACAGCCGAGACUCAGGGUCUGUGGAAUGUAAUUGCUGAGGAGACUUAAAAGAAGCCCUGGUCUACUGGGACAAAUGCCAGCUUUAUCCUUUCGUCUGGCUGUGGAAAACCCCAGAGUUCAUCUAGGAAUAUCUUGGUUUGGGAUGAUAAUUAGAUCACUGCCAUUGUCAUGCUUCUAGUGCAGAACCCUCCCUCCAAUAUUGUUUCUUUCUCACAGGGCUCUCAGGAGGCCUUCAUCCUGUUAAUGCUUCCCUUACUGACUUCAGACCUGAGACACAAGAAGGCCUAAAAGGUUGAGUGGCACCCAACCUUCACAGAGCACCCUCUGCAAUACCAUUUCAGGGAGCUUAUUCAAGGGACACACCAUAGUCAAGGAUGGUCCUGUUAGGCCCUACAAUUCCUCUCUUGACUUUGUUUCCUAAAGUAGAUUACAGACUCCUGCAGGUGGGCAUCCACGGUGAUCCUUCAUGCAUUUCAAGGGCAGGCCUUCUCUGAGGAAAAGUGCACUCUGGGACAAUUCAUAAUUUGAAUUUAGGGCAGGGAGCUGUUUGUUCUUCCUUGGAGAUAGUGAUGAUGUGAACUAUGAUUAUUCCUCGUUGAUCUAAUGAAUAUAAUUUAUAUCCUUCUACUUUUCUCAAUAGACUGCCUUACAAAGUUUGGUUCAUAUAGUACAUUAAACUACCACCCUGGUACCCGGUGUAUUCCCACAAUAUGUUACUGUAAUCUUUAUGGGAUACUCAUCUUUUUUUUUUGCCAUUUUAUUAUGAAACUAAUUGUGGUUUCCUUAAUUAACAGCUAUUGGUUUUAAAUACUGGGUGGGUUCAGGACACACUAUCCCAAAAUGUGACCUAUGGCAUACUGAAUUUGAGAAAUGGCGUAAGUAGGAAGUACUCUCUGACCUUCCCGUGAAGCAGGCCACAAAAACCUAGGUGAGGAGUGCCCUCCCUGUACCUGGAGGAAAGGUACAGCCUUAUCUCCAAGACGCUGAGAAGAAUCCAAAUGAACAGCCUUUGUUAUUUCCCCCAAUUUUCCACAGAAGUUCACACCCCUUUUUGUCCUUUCACAUUUUCCCACAACUUUCCACUCUUCAUCAAACUUAGCAUAAAUGCACUCAGGAUUAGCAUCUUCAGGUCUUCAUUUCCUUAUGAAGGCUCCCAUGUCACAUGAAACUUACAAUAAAUAAAUGUACAAAGUUUUCUUUAGUGAAUGAAUCCUUUGCUACAGGGGUUCCAACAGAGAGCUUAGAAAAGUACAAGAAAAAGCAUUUUUCCUCCCUAUGUCAGCAAAGUAGUAACCAGGUAAUAAGUUGUCAACAUUUGCCGAGAAAGUGGAAAUUUCUAGAAGGUGAAAAUAGUCCCCCUGUGUCAGUAUUAACUGUCAAGGAGAGAAAGAUUAUUAGUAGCGGGGGAAUGAUACCACUCUCAGAAGUGACCUUUCCCAUCUCUGAAGUGUCCUAGCAUUUGCUAUUAUGCAUUAGAAUUGUUCCCACGUGUUUUCUUCGUGAUCAAUACACAUGGAUGAUUUUGUACACCAUAGCUAGAACAUUUUUAAUAAUCAUUGAGUAAUAACUAAGCUUGGUUGAAGUCUUGUAUCAUCAAAUCACCAAACACAAUAGCCACAUCUUCCAUAGUUUUGUUAGGUUUAAUGUUUCUGUAGUCAAUUUUUAAAGAUGUAUUUUUUUAAAAAACAGGGAAAACUUUUCUAGUUACAUUAGUCUAUGGACUAUCAUGGGUCUCUAAAUUCAAAGAACUGUGUGUUAGAAAAUGUUCCCCUCCACAUUCCCACAUUCAUGGGUAAUUGCUUGCUAAUUUUUAACAUAGUAAAAUAAACCAAGGAAAACAUUUUUGGAGUGUAUGUUGUUUCUUUUUUUAGAUAUAAUUGACAUAUAGCAUUAUAUUAGUUUUUGGUGUACAACAUGACUCUACAUGUGUAGGUACUUGCCUUUUCGCUGACUUCUACUUCAAACUGGUGAAGCAUAAAUGUACUUUGGAAAACUUUUUUAAACUAGACAAUAAACUCAUUUAUUUAUUCAACCAACACAAUCAACUAUACUCAUUGUUGGAUUAUAUUUAGCACUAAUAUACUCAUAGAAAUAGGCUAGAACAACCCAGAUCUAAAUAUUCUUUGGUAUAAUAGAUAUCUGAAGCAUAUUACAAGAAAGAGAGCUGGUAUUGGAAUCCAGGCCUACUUCUACCAGUUCCUGAAAGUGAAGUUCUGGGUAAAACAUCUAAUGUUUCUCAGUCAUAGACUCUCUGAAAAAAGGAAGAGUGUAGAAAUGAGGCAUAACAGCAUCAUGAUUAAAAUCUAAGCUUUGCAGUAGGACAGGAUGAUUCAAUCCAAUUAUAUUCUGCUGCUUACUAGCUGAGUACCUUUGAGAUCAGGAAGGCAAUGGCAGGGUGACACAGAAAGAAAGUCUGAGCUAGCUCGACCAGCUGGACCUGGGAACGCUGGGCUGAGCUGGCAGAGGGGCUUGAAACUGACAGACAAGUUGGGGAACACACCAGGAGGAACUAGGCCAAGCCCUGAUGGCUCCCAGUUUUACUGGGAAUAAACCUCUGACUUCAUUAGAAUCUCAUGCACUUCGUAAAAAUCAUGCCCAUCAGCACCAUGACAGUUUACAGUUGUCAUGACAACCCCUGGAAGAGACCUAAUAAGGGAAAGACCCCAUCUUCUAAGAAUCAUCUGGGAGAUUCUGCCCCCUGUUUUCCAUACCUUUUAUACUUCCUAUAAAGGAGCUAGCUAAGGGGGUUGGGGAGAUGUACUCUGCCUAUGAAGUAGUCAACUUCACUUUGCUAUAUAAUCUGCAUUUUUCCUCUUAAUAAAUCUGCCUAAUACUGUACCUGGAGCAUGUUUGAUUUACAUCCUGAGCAUAGCCAAGAACCCUCUACUGCCAUGGAGGCCCAAGCUCUAGGGCCUCCCACAUUCUCCUGUAAUACCCUUGGACAAAUCUUCCUAUUUAGUAAUACCAUUACUAAAUCUUCCUAUUUCUUAGUUUCCUUAUCUGUGAAAAUAGGAAUAAUACUGCUUUACCUCACUAAGUAGUCUUAUAGGAAUUAAAUAAAAGGAUAUCUAUAGUGCUUAGUUCAGUAUCUGGCUCAUAACAGUAUUCAAUAAACUGUGGUUUUAAACAAGAAAUCCUGAAAGACCUUUUGGGAUCAUGAGGUAUAAACCACUUCAUUUUUCAAAUUAGAAAUGGAGGCUCAGAAGUUAAGGAUCUUUCCCAAGUCCUCUGAACUCACAGGUUUGUGAUCUGUAUACUUCCUAAACUUUUAUUAGUUCUAUGAUGGAGACAGAGUGCUAUCUCUUUAUGACCUAUCUCCCAUU